GAGGGCCGCUCCCCCCGGACCCGCCCCUCCCCUCCCGGGUCUGUCUCGGCCAAUCCGAAUCUCCCGCCAAGAGCCACGAGCCAAUCAGAGGCUGGCACCGCCCUCCCCGCGAAGUUGGGCAAAAAGUUAAGAAACUUUUUUUUUUUUGACUCUACUCAAGUCAAGGAGGGAUUUGCCGGGUACCUGUGAGCGGGCUAUGAUCGCGACCCAGUCUCUUCUUCCCUGCCCUCCCCUCAAAUAGGCAACCCAGGUCUCUCCUCUACCGGAGAGCACCACACCUGCUUACUCCGCCCUUCUUACCUGUCGGAGCUGUAGCACUCGCCUUCAACACCGAUUCCGAAAAUCAGGAAUAUCCAAGGUGCCUUUGAAAUCUAAAAGCAAUUCUGCUAUGAAACAAUUUUGCCUAUGAUAAAUAAGUAAGCAUCCGUGAGCAGGCAUCCAUCUACACAGGAAGACAGACAGAUUCAGUGUGAAUAGAAUGUUUAAUGGAGAAUGAUCUUCAGACUGUGAACAGGGAUUGGUGAGGAAUCUGAAACCCCAGGCACAUGAGGAGAUGUAAGAGAAUGCUUAUCUACCCUCAAACCCUGGACCCUGGACAAGCAGCCUCCCAGGAGCUGUGGAACCGGGGAGAUCUGAUUAUAUUCAUCACAAAUUCAUUGUGCUGGACUAACUUCAUUUCCUUAUGUAAAAAAUGCUUGUAGUUCAGGGGAGGUCCACAUGGAUCUAGCCAUGUGAUUUUUUGUUUAGAGAACUCCUGGCAUGGAGACUCUCUUAGCCCAUGCCACUGAUAGAUAGUGUGUUUCUUCACUGAAACCAAUUAUUUGACAAAGUCUUUCUUUUUAAUUUUUUAAAAAAUAAUUUAAUUUAGAAUAUUUUUCCAUGGUUACAUGAUUCAUGUUCUUUUCUUCCCCUGCCCCCUGCUCCUAAAGCCAAUGAACAAUUCAACUGGGUUUUACAUGUAUUAUUGAUCAAGACCCAUUUCCAUAUUAUUAAUAUUUGCAUAUCCCCAUUGAACCAUGUGAUCAAGCAGUUGUUUUUCUUCUGUGUUUCUACUCCCACAGUUCUUUCUCUGGGUGUGGAUAGCGUUCUUUCUUGUAAAUCUCUCCAAGUUGUUCGGGAUCACUGCAUUGCCACUAAUGGAGAAGUCCAUUACAUUCGAUUGUGUCACAGUGUCAGUUUCUGUGCACAACGUUCACCUGGUUCUGCUCCUUUCAUUCUGCAUCACUUCCUGGAGGUCAUUCCAGUUCCCAUGUAAUUCCUCCAAUUCAUUAUUCUUUUGAGCACAAUAGUAUUCCAUCACCAUCAGAUAUCACAAUUAGUGCAGCCAUUCCCCUGAUCAAAGGGCAGCCCCUCAUUUUCCAAUUUUGACAGAGUCUUUCAUGAUAUCCUUUUGGACAAGAUGAAGAGAUGUUAGGUUUGAGUUUAGUCACCUUGAUUUGGAAUUCACUGAAUGGCAAUAUUCCAAGAAUGGUGGGAAAUGGAUUGAUGACAAUCUGAAUGGAUGUAGGUCUCUUCAAGAGUCCCACGGAGAUAAUUAAAACAAAAAAAUAAAAAGAGUCCUUCAGAGAUUUGUCUUUGGCCCUGUUCUGUUCACAAUUUUUAUUUGUGACUUGGGUGAAGCAGUAGUUGGCAAACUACAAAAACAAAAUUUUACUGGAAGGUACAGAAAUAUAUUUAAAUUCUUAACAGAGUAGUAGAGAGGUGUCCAAAAUUGGGUCCAGGGAUGCUAAGGGGCUAAUUAUUAUAUAUGGUGUGUCCCGAACCACAAAAUAAAGUUCGUUGGGGAAAUAGAAAGUAGACAAUUGUUUGUUUCCCUAAAAUAUCUCAUAACUUCCUGGGCAAUAGGAAUAUAGUGCAGUUCUUCCUGGAUGCAAGAGACUCUUUUCUUCUGGAAUAUAUGGAAGGAGGAGAAAAAUGAUUUCCAGAGACAGUAAUCAUGAUGGGUUACUGGUAGUUUUUGUAUUGUAAAGUGGUCAUCAAAUUGUUGAUUCCUGUGGUGUUUAUGAGGCAUGGUCCUCUUGGAAUGGGAAGGAGGACUUUUCAUAGAGCAUCUAGCUUUUCCAGUACUAAUCUUGUCCUCUGAUGUAGCUAAGGGCAGUUGCAUCCUAGGAGUAGGGAGGGAUUUUCCAACAGAUGAAUGAAUCUGGAAGCCUAAACUGCUUCCUGCAGUGCUGUUAGGGUCUAUUCUGCCCCUUUGUAGUUUAUUUCCCUAGCAGGCCUGAGGCACAUUCCUCUCUGAGACUGUUUUGGGUGCCUUCUGGUCUUAAAGGUCUGGUGUUCCUUUGGACCCUGUAGGCUUCUCUGAUAGCCCUCAGCAGUCUUGUCCCAAGAGACUUUAGUUGCUGGGUUUGCAAGGAUCCCUACCCUACUUGUUCCUCUGUUUGGGACAAGGAGCAAGGUUCUGCUGGUUGAGCAGGAGAGGGGUCUUACCCAGCAUCCACUCCCACUAUUAUGCUGCUGUUGGAACUAUGAGGAGAAAACCCAAGAGCCAGUCUUCUCUAAUUUGUGGAUUACAGGAAGCUGUAGGUAAGAGGGCUAAUGGUGAUUAAAAGUAUCCAGAUCCAAAAAAGGAUCCUAGCAGAUGGGUCAUAAGUAACCGAACAGGGGAGGGAUUGUUACACAGGGCCAUAAGCUUUUGUCUCCAAAUCCUGCUUCUGAACCUGGGGAAGUCAGUUACCUCUCUUUUAGACCCAAUUUCCUCAUCUGUAAAAUGAGUCAUAGCUACCUCACAAGACUUUUGUAGCAAUCAAAUGGAAUGAUAAAUGCGAAACAUUUGAGAACUUUGAGAUACUGUAAAAAGGAACCUGAACUCUGAGUAACUGAAAAACCAGCAAUGGUCCAGAACAAACCAGAGCACCUCUUCCUCAUGACUGAAAGGCUAGGAAUAAUGAGGGCAUAUGGUUGGAUCCACUGUCAGUGUUAACUCUGUAUUAACUCUUUGUGUUUGUUUUUCACUGUAAAAAGGAGAGUUCAAAUUGGAGAAGGGGGGAAGAUGCUUUUGUUUUGUUUUGUUUUCCUCAAAGAUGACUUUGACAUAAGAACAAAAAAAUCAAUAAAACUUAUUUUUUAAAAGA